GUCCUGUGGUCUAGUGGUUAGCACUCUGGACUUUCAGUCCAGCGAUCGGAGUUCAGAUCUCCGUCGACC